GCCAACAUGGCACAGUGGUUUAAGUGUUGGACUAUGGCUCUGUAGAUCAGGGUUCAAUUCCCAGCUCAGCCA